rnacentral:rRNA from 1 species
UACGGAGGGUGCAAGCGUUGUCCGGAAUCACUGGGCGUAAAGGGCGCGUAGGCGGCUCAUGAAGGCUGUGGUGAAAGUCCGGGGCUCAACCUCGGAUCGGCCGUGGCGACUCGUGGGCUGGAGCACUGUAGAGGCGGGUGGAAUUCCGGGUGUAGCGGUGGAAUGCGUAGAGAUCCGGAAGAACACCAGUGGCGAAGGCGCCCGCUGGGCAGUGGCUGACGCUGAGGCGCGACAGCGGUGGGGAGCAAACGAGGAUU